GGAAGUAAAGUCGUAACAAGGUCUCCGUAGGUGAACCUGCGGAAGGAUCAUUCAUAAUAAAGUGUUUUAUGGCACUUUUUAAAAAUCCAUAUCCACCUUGUGUGCAAUGUUAGAUCUCGUCAAUCUUGGCGAGAUUUUUAUACAUCAACUCAUUUUUUAACUAAUUUGUCUGAAAAAUAUUAUGAAUACUUAAUUCAAAAUACAACUUUCAACAACGGAUCUCUUGGCUCUC
rnacentral:misc_RNA from 1 species